CAUCUCCUGCAGUGUACGGCAGCGGCCUGGGUAUUUUCUUGAGCCUAAUUCGUACCCCGGGAGCGCCAAGAAUUUGGCCGUUGUGCAUGUCCGUCUUGAGCGGAAAGCCUGAAGCCAGAUGUAGCGCUCCCACUUGAACCCUCAGGUUCAAGAACGAAGGACUGCACCGGCACAGGCGGGAGAUGU
rnacentral:other from 1 species